GUACAGUUAACGUGGAACUGACUGGAUUAGGUUCCACUACAACUACAUCUCAAACAUGGUCCAGAUUAACAAGGUCAUAUUGUACUAAGUGACACAUCUCAAACAUGGUCCAGAUUAACAAGGUCAUAUUGUACUAAGUGACACAUCUCAAACAUGGUCCAGAUUAACAAGGUCAUAUUGUACUAAGUGACACAUCUCAAACAUGGUCCAGAUUAACAAGGUCAUAUUGUACUAAGUGACACA